UAUAUAUUGGUGUAAAGUGCACGAAAGCUUUUGAUGCUUAGAGAAGUGGUGCAAUUCCAUUAUGUGUAA
rnacentral:tRNA from 1 species